rnacentral:rRNA from 1 species
ACCUACAGAAGAAGCACCGGCUAACUCCGUGCCAGCAGCCGCGGUAAUACGGGAGGGGUGCGAGCGUUAAUCGGAAAUUACUGGGCGUAAAGCGCAUGCAGGCGGCCUGUUAAGUCAGAUGUGAAAGCCCGGGGCUUAACCUCGGAAUUGCAUUUGAAACUGGCAGGCUAGAGUCUUGUAGAGGGGGGUAGGAAUUUCAGGUGUAGCGGUGAAAUGCGUAGAGAUCUGAAGGAAUACCAGUGGCGAAGGCGCCCCCCUGGACAAAGACUGACGCUCAGAUGCGAAAGCGUGGGGAGCAAACAGGAUUAGAUACCCUGGUAG